rnacentral:piRNA from 1 species
UCCAUAGGUUUUAGUGGACAGCAUUUGGC